rnacentral:rRNA from 1 species
GUAGGUGGCGAGCGUUAUCCGGAAUUAUUGGGCGUAAAGAGGGAGCAGGCGGCACUAAGGGUCUGUGGUGAAAGAUCGAAGCUUAACUUCGGUAAGCCAUGGAAACCGUAGAGCUAGAGUGUGUGAGAGGAUCGUGGAAUUCCAUGUGUAGCGGUGAAAUGCGUAGAUAUAUGGAGGAACACCAGUGGCGAAGGCGACGAUCUGGCGCAUAACUGACGCUCAGUCCCGAAAGCGUGGGGAGCAAAUAGGAUUAGAUACCCUAGUAGUCCACGCCGUAAACGAUGAGUACUAAGUGUUGGGUGUCAAAGCUCAGUGCUGCAGUUAACGCAAUAAGUACUCCGCCUGAGUAGUACGUUCGCAAGAAUGAAACUCAAAGGAAUUGACGGUAGCAGCCGCGGUAAUACCAAACUCAAAGGAAUUGACGA